UUAUUGGGCGUAAGGGCUCGCAGGCGGUUUCUUAAGUCUGAUGUGAAAGCCCCCGGCUCAACCGGGGAGGGUCAUUGGAAACUGGGGAACUUGAGUGCAGAAGAGGAGAGUGGAAUUCCACGUGUAGCGGUGAAAUGCGUAGAGAUGUGGAGGAACACCAGUGGCGAAGGCGACUCUCUGGUCUGUAACUGACGCUGAGGAGCGAAAGCGUGGGGAGCGAACAGGAUUAGAUACCCUGGUAGUCCACGCCGUAAACGAUGAGUGCUAAGUGUUAGGGGGUUUCCGCCCCUUAGUGCUGCAGCUAACGCAUUAAGCACUCCGCCUGGGGAGUACGGUCGCAAGACUGAAACUCAAAGGAAUUGACGGGGGCCCGCACAAGCGGUGGAGCAUGUGGUUUAAUUCGAAGCAACGCGAAGAACCUUACCAGGUCUUGACAUCCUCUGACAAUCCUAGAGAUAGGACGUCCCCUUCGGGGGCAGAGUGACAGGUGGUGCAUGGUUGUCGUCAGCUCGUGUCGUGAGAUGUUGGGUUAAGUCCCGCAACGAGCGCAACCCUUGAUCUUAGUUGCCAGCAUUCAGUUGGGCACUCUAAGGUGACUGCCGGUGACAAACCGGAGGAAGGUGGGGAUGACGUCAAAUCAUCAUGCCCCUUAUGACCUGGGCUACACACGUGCUACAAUGGACAGAACAAAGGGCAGCGAAACCGCGAGGUUAAGCCAAUCCCACAAAUCUGUUCUCAGUUC
rnacentral:rRNA from 1 species